AUGGAGAAAGAUUUUCAUGCCUUUGCUAAAUCUGCCUGGAAUGCUAGUCCCUCACAUUCUUUUGCAGCAAAGUCCACUUCUUUGGCAGGGUCUUUGAAAAUGUGGUGCAAGAAGAAGAAGCCUCUUCGGAAUGAUCUUUUGGAAUUGGAAGCUCGUAUCAAUCAACUGCAGCAACUUCCUUUACAGCAACAGGACCAUAAUUUGGAAACUUCUCUCACUACUAGGUAUGAGUUCACUCUUUCUAAACUUAAUCAGUUCUAUAAGCAUUGUAGUAAGAACAAAUGGGCUGUUGCUAGUGACCGUAAUACUAAUUUUUUCCACCAAGCUGUUGUUAAGCGUAGGAAGAGAAAUACCAUUUGCUCUGUUAAGGAUGCGAAUAAUAUGAUUCAUUUCAAUCCUGCUGCUAUCACGAAUACCUUUGUUAACUAUUUUCGCUACAUUUUCUCUUCCCCGAAUGAUAAUGUGGGUAAUCCUUACCUUUCAACACAAUGGCCCAGUGGCUCUUUGGAUCCCACCUAUGCUUUGCCUGACAAUCAUGAGAUUUUGCAGAUUCUGAAGGAUAUGAAACCUAAUGCUUCUCCAGGUCCGGAUGGUUUUAAUGUUGAGUUCUAUUUAGCUACUUGGGACUGGAUCAGAGACGAGGUAACUCAGCUUGUUGUUAGUUUUUAUCUUUCUGGAGUUCUUCCUCCUCAUAUUAAUAACAACAACAUUGCUCUCAUUCCUAAAAAACUUGUUCCUCAAGUGCCUAUGGAUUACCGGCCUAUUAGUCUUUGUAAUGUUGUUUAUAAGAUCAUUGCCAAAUCUCUUGCUAACAGUAUUAAACCUCACCUUCCUGAUUAUAUAGAUCCUGCCCAACAUGCUUUUAUUGAGGGUAGAAGAAUUAGUGAUAAUAUUAUUAUUGCUCAAGAGAUAGCUCACUCUUUCUCUCUCAAAUCUUGGAAACAUGAUGCCUUCAUGCUAAAAAUUGAUCUUGCUAAAGCUUUUGAUAGACUUGAAUGGGACUUCAUUGUUCUUGCGCUUACUCGUAAAGGGCUGCAUGCUCAUUUCAUUAAUUUAGUGCAUGCAUGCAUCUCUUCUCCCACAUAUUCUGUUCUUAUUAAUGGGCAGCCUUCUCAUAAAUUUAAAAGUUUUUGA
rnacentral:rRNA from 1 species